UACCUGUGGAUUCCUCAGUAAAUUCGCCAUCGCCCACUCUAGUGUUACGGCGGAGGUCUCAGUCCCGGCGAGCAUCAUCGCCUUUAACAAACAAUCAGGUAAAAAUUGAAUUCAAAAUUCGUUCUAUUUCAAUUAAAUCAAGUUUUUUGAUUUGAUCAUGAUUCAUGAAUUAGACAUCUUACCAUCAUGAGGCCUUUGAUGGUAACGUCAGUAUAAUAGUCAGGUUGUUGUUGUUGUAGAGAGAUCAAAUGAUUGACCAUUGUGUUACCUUCUUUAUCUCUUCUACACUCAUCGAGCAAACGCUGCAAAAUCUCAUCCAUGGAUUUGCCAAUAGCUAUAACUUCCUUUUCGUAUUUGUUUCCGAAUAGUUUUAGAACUGGCAAGUAAUCAGCGGAAUGGUUAGCUCCGCUGUACACUGCGAUAUCGUAAACUAGCUUCUUGAAUAGCUCUGCUUCUUCCUUGUUGUUGACAUCGUCGCCGUAAUAUCGCUUCCCUGUAACCAUCCUUACUAUGUUGUUGAACGUUAGAUCGGAUAAGAGUGGUUCGAGCUCGAUGUGAGUGAAACUGCUGCUUCCGUUGGAGGCUUGCGUGGUGCGUGAAAUGCGCUUGAGCAUGCGCAAUAUCUCGUCUUUGCGGAUGUGUUGGAAGUUGUUGAGGCGGUGAGAGGAGAGAAUCUCUUGAGAGCAAAUGCGGCGGAGGUUACGCCAGUGGUCUCCGUAAGGAGCUGUUCCAACGGUUGUGUGGUUAUAGGCGACGUAUUUGGCAGUGAGUUGUAGAGGCCGGCUAGAGAGAAGGAUGUCGUUUUGGCCGGUGAAGGCUUCUUGAGCGAGGGAAGAUGAAGUUAUGACAACAACGUUGCGAGAGCCGAAACGAAGGGAAAAGAUUGGGCCGUAUCGGUUGGAGAAGCGUUGGAGGAGACGGUGGAUCGGCGGUUUCAUGAGGUGGAGAUGGCCGACGAAGGGACGUGACGGUGGUCCUGGAGGGAGCUUGAAACAAUGCGUUUUGGAGUAGAGAAAUUUGUAAGCCAAAAGAAGGGAUAAGAGAGGGAGAAGGAUCAAGUAUAACAUUUUGCCCUUUUUUUUCUUUUUUCUGGAUGUUUGUGUUUCUUCUGCUAGUGAUACUGGUUAUGGUUUGUUAAGUUUAUAAUUUUAUAAAUUUCAAAUCUCGUUCACUAAAGUUAAACGAAAAACUUCAAAAUACUGUUUCUUCCCUUUUACUUGUACGGUGCUAGUUUAUGAAUAAAGAAAUUCAAACCAAUGCAACUUGACACGACCAUUUUUAAAAUCUUUCGCAUGGAAAUUCGAAACCAUGCAAGUUGAAACUGCUAUCCAUCCGACUCGUCAAUGAUUAUUAAAUAAGGCUCAUAAAGGUUCAAGUUUCAGAAAACUCAAUAAUGGGAAUUGAUUAUUGCAAUUGUCUGUCUUUUUGGUUAUGAUGGGUCAUAAAGACUCGACCAAUAUGUGGCUACGUUAUUGUUUCUUUAACAAUAAAUUUAGCGAAAUAUGUUUUUAAGGUUUAAAUGAUGAUUACAUUACAGACAGAUAUUCAUUUGAUAAUUGUUACUACUAAAUCAAGAAGCAAGAAGCAAAAGGAAAUGAAUUAAUCAAUUCUAAAUUAUUAAUUUAAUAACAAAGGUAUUUACUUUAUCAAAGCAAAAGGAGAAAGUCACUUAAGCUACAAUAAUAGUAUUUUCUUGCGGUCGUGACUCGUGAGAGGAGGAGAAGGAUAAUUAAUUGCCUUGCAGUUUCUUCAUCGUACGUCAUCACAAGGUCAUCUGUAACAGAUUCUUUUCAAUUAUUGAUAUCCGCAUAUGAUGCAACCAAGUUUACAUAUGAAGAAGAAGAAGUUGUAUCUGAAAAGUAACUCUAGCUACAAAUUUUAGUUUCUAUGCUUUCACCUAACCAAAAAAUUCAAAUCCAGUUUACAAAAACAGUGAAAAGGAUCUGUCACACAACUAUGCUAUUAACACAAUAACCCAUCCAAAAUCUAAUGAAACUUUCAUCUUUGCCAUGCCAUUUUAUAACCGUCUUUAACCGGGUGACUGAACCAUUUUCUGGUCAACCUCUUCAACCUCAGGUCCUUGACUUCGCAGAAUCUCUGGCCCCAUCCUUCCGGUUCAAUGGGCCUAAAGCCCAACCCAGGAGUUCGAUCUCUCGACUUAGGGUUAGAGACUCUGGUCCAAUCCACCACGUACGCCGACACGCGUCGUUUGAACUUGGCCUUGAACUCUAACCACGCCUGGUACUUGUAAUGGUUCACCACUCCCUCCUCCGUGUCCGCCACACGCCACUCAUACUCUUUCUUCAAACCAAAGUGGUGAAUUGCUGUAUACAGAGAAUGCUCAAUCGCGCUUAGCCGCACGAUCGACUUGUGCCGUUGAUCUUCCUCUCGCCGACACGUGUACCCUUGCGUCACACCUCCACGUGGAUGCUCAGUCUGAUUCGACGGCCCAAACUCGUGCGAUUUAAACGACACCUGUCCGAUCAUGCUAUGAUCCGACGGUAGAAGAGACCUAAUCAUCUGAUCCGACGGCUGCGACUUAUUAUCCCAAGACGGAGAGAAGAGAAACUCGUCCACGUCAAGGUACAUCAUCCAGGUGCACAAAUCGUUUCCAUACACCGCCGCGUGGGAGAACCCAGCCUCUUGAGUCUUGGGCCAGAUCCAAAAAACUUUGGUGACGUCAUACCUUUCACUCUUGAGAACCUCAACGACGUCGUUUAACUCGUCGUCGCUUCCAUUAUCGUAAAUGAUGAAUCUUUGUAUUCCGAUCGCCGCGUGAUACAUCACCCACUCUCUCAAAUACUUCGCUACAUUGUACACCAUCGUCGUCGCGCACAGUAGCGAUUUCUCACGUGGUUCUGUUAACGUGCGCUUAGGGCUAAAGUACGCGACAGACGGGACUGUCUUUGUCUCCUCCUUAUGAUCGGUUGCCACUGCCUCGAGGUAGAUUUUGACCGGCGUAUCGAUCGUUUUGUUAGGGAAUGAACAUCGGAACACCUCUUGAACGGAGCUCGUCACGGGGGUUCUAAUGGCGGUGUCGGAUUCCUCACCGAACACGCAACGAAACGACUCGGGAGGUUUAUUGGAGCCUAAUCCACGGUUCGGCCCUUUGACUAAGAGAACGACGUCGUUUUCCGUUGAAAUGGCUUCGAAAACGACGAAGUUCCAUAGAGGAAGAUCAGGCCAACGUGUUUCCGGUGAGAGUUGGAAUGUUUUGGAAGUGGCAAGUACCGGAGUAGGGAUGGGAUGGUGGUGGCGGUAUAUACCGGGAAGGCUGCAUCUGAAUGUCGUACGGUUCGUGAAAGGGAGAAUCGCGACGAACCUCGCCGUGGCUUUCUCACCGUUAGGGUAAAAACAUGUGUAGUUCUCCCCUGGAAGCUGAGGCGGGAGAACUUUCUCCUCCGGUGAAACGAUCACAAGGAUCUCCCAUCCUGGCCAGAGAACAGCUUCGGCCUUGAUCCUGCGAGAACCGUUGGAUUGUUGAGGGCUUGAAUCUUGAGUGUUGAUCACGUAACUGACGAUUCUUGAUUUAGUCGGGCGUACCGUGGCAAAGAAGGCAGCUCGAUAAAUCGUGUUUGGGGAACAAUAGAGAGAGAACAGACCAAAGAGAGAGAGUGGAACAAGAAUGAAGAAGAGUGUGGUUGUGUGUGCUCUGUAACUCGUUUUGUGAUUGAAGAAUUGAGCAGCACCAUCGUCUGCUCCGGUGGUUGAUUUUGGUGAUGAUCGAGGAGAAGAACAAGUCUUGAAGGAUAGCGUCAUUGUCGAUUACGUAUCCAACAAACUUGUUUUGUAGUUUUACCCAAAUAAAAAAAUCCAUCAAUGAAAAUAUUUUUUUUUGUAUUGUUUUUUAUCGUUUACAUUGUUUGUUUUGAGUUUCAGAAACACUAAUUAUAAUGACCAAAGAUUGGAUGAAGAAAGAAAAAUUCUAAACCCAUGAAAAUAGCAGAAAAAAUCUGAAAAUGAUUAGUUUUUGGAGAAAAAUGCUUCAGCUCUUUUUUGUGGUUGCUAUUGCCAAAUAUAGCUUUUUAUCAAUUCAUUCACACGUUGUCCUCUUUGGUUACACAAACGCAGCACAAGGUAACAAUUUUGCAUAAGAAGUAGUAUAAAUGAUUCUUUAACUGUUUUUCACGCGAUAUUCUCAAUCUCUAAGCGUAUAUAUAAAAGACUUUGUAGGAUCUGUUUUGACAUAGUUAAAAUCCUUAAAAGGGGGUAAAAAAGAAAUAGGCCGUACGUGUGUAUAUAUAAUGUAUAUGCUUCGAUAUGGGCAACAAUGGUGGCAUGAUCUUAAGAGAAUCGAAUAUCAAAAAUUAAAUAUUAUCCUUUGAUAUAGAAAAAUGAAUAUUAUCCUUUCUUUAAUAUCGGAAACAUGUUUUGCACAAUAUAAAAUAAGUAACAGUGUGUUCUUGCGAAAUCAGUCUAUGCUUUUUAUAAGGCAUAUAUACGACAGAGGUGGUUGAGCUUAUUUCUUGACCCACGUCCUUUUGUUUUUUUUUUUGUUUGUCGCUUUGUCACACAUAUUCGAUCCCACAAUAUUAAUAAUGGUAUUGAUUACUGAGCCCCUUGGCCUCUAUUAUAAGCUAUAGGAUUUCAUUUCAAUCAAGAAAAAGAAAGAGAGCCAAAAGGAAAGAUGUUUCAGUUUUAUUUUCUCGCGAUGAUUUUCAUCGUCCCCUUACUCUACAUAGCUUACAGUUUCAGUUCUAAAAGACAACGUUUCAACAUUCCACCAGGUCCUCCGGGUCUUCCUGUCGUCGGACAUCUCCACCUCAUCAAACCACUCCUCCACCGUUUCUUCCAUAGCUACUCCAAAAAGUACGGUCUCAUAUUCACCCUCCGCUUCGGAUAUCGCCGUCUCGUCGUUAUAUCGUCUUACCCUCUAGUUAAAGAAUGCUUCAGCGGCCCAAAUGAUAUUAUUUUGUCAAACCGGCCUUUAUCCAUGACAAACAAAUACAUUGCUUACAAUAACACCACCAUCGGAACCUCCCCCUACAACGAACAUUGGAGAAACCUCAGGCGCAUCAGCUCCGUGGAGAUUCUCUCCUCCCAACGCCUCGCAAGCUUCCUAGAUAUUAGGAGAGACGAGCUCCGUCGGAUGCUCAGGAGACUUGCACGUGACCACACCACUAAGGGUAAUUAUCAACUCGAUUCUUUCAAGGAGGUCGUACUUGAACCCCCCUUGUCAGAUUUAGCGCUCAACAAUGUCGUGAGGAUGGUGACGGGGAAGAGAUACUACGGCGAUGAUGUUCGUGACAAGGAAGAGGCAGAGAUAUUCAAGAAUCUCAUCAUAGAUAUUUUCGAAAACAGCUCCGCGAAUAAUCCUAGCAAUUAUUUGCCUUUCUUGAAAUUCUUUGGGAGCAAGUACGAGAAGCAGGUGAAACGUAUCGGCAAUUCCGUGGACAAGACUUUGCAGCGUCUCCUCGACGAGUGUCGGAAAGACAGGGAUGGAAACAGUAUGAUCAAUCACUUGGUGUCUUUGCAGGAUCAAGAACCUGAGUAUUACAACGACGUAACCAUCAAAGGGUUAAUUAUGGUAACACGUGGUUAUAAACAAAUUUUAUAUUUGUUAUUGAUCAUCAUAUUUCUCUAAGUGAUUAUAUAUUUAUAUUUGGUUAUAUAUUAUGCGUAUGGAUCAAUUUUAUACCUUUAAUUUUCAUGAAUCAAUUUAUAUGCAGGCUAUGAUAAUCCCAGGAUCAGAUACUACUUCAGUUAUGAUCGGAUGGGUUAUGGCAAACUUGCUGAACCAUCGGGACGUGUUGAAAAAAGCAAGCGCGGAGAUCGAUGAAAAGAUCGGACAAGACCGUCUCAUCGACGAAGAAGACAUCUCCGACCUUCCUUACCUUCAAAAUAUUGUGUCUGAGACAUUCCGGUUAAACCCGGUGUCCCCGAUCUUGCUCCCUAGGGAAGCUUCCGAGAACAUGAAAGUCGGUGGGUAUGACAUACCACGUGGCACAACAGUUGUGAUCAACGCGUGGGCUAUACACAGAGACCCGGAGCUCUGGCACAAUCCAGAAGAGUUUAAUCCUGAAAGAUUUAGUGGGAAAAAUAUCAAAAUUGAUGGAUCCAUCGACAGUGUUCAGACUCUGAUGCCGUUUGGGAACGGUAGGAGACAGUGUCCUGGUUCUGCCCUCGGGAUGAAGACAGUGACGUGGACAGUAGGAGCAAUGGUCCAAUGCUUUGAUUGGAAGACUGUGAAUGGUGAUAAGAUUGAUAUGGAGGAAUCUCGAGGGAUUGUGAUGCGUAAUCUUAAGCCUUUACGUGUUAUGUGCCGACCUCGACCAAUUAUGUCUAAACUUGUUGCUGAGACAACUUCUUAGACCGUAUCGUUUAAUCAGAGUUUGACGGCAGCUCUAUCAUCUAUACGGGCCGGCGAAUGCGAUAGAAUCGCCAACAAAUAAUAAUACAUACUUGGACCUAGACCAAAGCAAAGAAAAAAUAAAACAUCAAAACAAUUUUUCUUUUAGACAGCACCAGAUAUCAGAUAACAGGUUUCCGUUUCUUUUGUAACAUUUUUAUAUAACAAGGUUUUAUACGAUCCAUGUGUUACAAUUUCCUUUUUUCGUAACACUUGUAGAGAAGCUUUAAAAUAAAAUAAAAUUCUUCCUUAUUUUCCAUCUUUGUGCUCUCAGCCUUCCACUUUUAGGUUUAAUAUCUUUCGAAUUGUAUUCCAAUUAGUGGAGUGGACAACUGGACGAUGGACAUUAACAUUUGAAAAAAGCUACCUAUACACUUCAUUAGUGGUUUUGAUCCAGAAUCAAACCGAAUCGAAAAAGAUCAAAAAAGCUAUCCAAAAAUAAUAUUCUAUGAAAAUUAAAGAUAUAUUUAACUAAUCUCGAAUACGAAUCAAAGACAAAUAAAACUCAACCAAACUAUUCGUAAACCGAAUUCAAUAAAUAUACAAAAAAACAAACUGAAUUCUAAUUGAGAUCAUCCUUGCCCUCAAUGGACAUAAUUUGAUUAAUGAGAAAAUCCGUUAUGACCUAAUAAAUACCAACAAAAUAUAAUUUUACUUUUCUAAGUAGUGUAGUAUAAUAUUAUUUUUGGUCACGAUAAAAGUACAUUUUUUAUCAGAACCUUUAAAUAUGGGCAAAUCAUUAGACCUUUUUCGUAUUUGUUUGAAUUACACACAUAGCCAAAACCUAACAAGUUUGCUGAGAAAACCAAAAAAGUAGUUUAAAAAAAAAACUAAGCGUGUAAAUGAGCCUGAAGCUUAUUCAUAAUGGGCCGAGAUCGACAUAAAGCCCGUAAAGGUACUUUCUUACGCAUCGCCAUCCCCGGAGUCUCCGUCAUAUCAAUCUCCUCGCCGUUGACUUUUUCCCAGUCAAAGCAUUGAAUCAACGAACCUAACGCCAACGUCACGAUCUUCUGCCCUAACGCGGCGCCGGGACACGAUCUCCGUCCAUUACCAAACGGCAUCAGCUUAUGAACGUCUUCUCCGCCGUUAAACCUCUCUGGUUUAAACUUCUCCGGUUCGUUCCAAAGAUUUGGAUCUCUGUGUAUUGCCCACGCGUUCACCAUCACCAUCGUGCCACGUGGCACGUCGUAUCCUCCUACUUUGAUAUCCUCCGUCGGCGAUCUUGGCACCAGAAGCGGCGCCGCCGGGAAUAGCCGGAAUGUUUCGGACACUAUGUUUUGUAGGUAAGGCAAGUUUGCAACGUCUGGUUCGUCAAUCAAACGUUCUUGUCCGAUUAUCUCGUCAAUCUCUAGUUUUGCUUUCUCUAAUGACUCUGGAUGGUUUAGCAAACUCGACAUCGCCCACUCCAAUGUCACGGCGGAGGUGUCUGUUCCAGCGAUCAUCAUGCCCUGUAAUGCCCCAUAAUUAGCAAACUUUUAUAAUCAGAGACUGAGACACUAAUCUGUACACAGACGCCGGGCCAUGCCAAUUCUAUAAGUAACGAUUCUUAAAUAUUAUGCCUAAAAAGUCGAAUAACGUGUCUUCGAUUUUACAAUUUAUAAACAGACUCUAACCAAGGUCAAGCUGCACCUAAUUAACAACCUAAUAUAAAUUAACUCAACAAAUUUUUUAACUUAAUCAAGAUUGUUUUCCGAAAAUUUCAAAUAUUAAAUAUAACAACUCUUUCUAUAUUUUUGAACCACCAGAAUUUGGAAACAAAACAAAAUUGAAUGAAACUACCAAAGAUUAAUUUGCAUAAACACAUAUAUGUGUAUACGAGUGUGUUAANNNNNNNNNNNNNNNNNNNNNNNNNNNNNNNNNNNNNNNNNNNNNNNNNNNNNNNNNNNNNNNNNNNNNNNNNNNNNNNNNNNNNNNNNNNNNNNNNNNNNNAAGGAUUCGUUACCAGCAUUAGGCCUUUGAUGGUGAUGUCAGUGUAAUACUCUGGCUCAUGUUGUUGGAGAGAGAGCAAGUGAUUAACCAUAGUGUUACCGUCUUUAUCUCUCUUACACUCUUCAAGGAGACGCUGCAAGAUCUCAUCCAUGUUUUUGGCGACAGCUUUCACUUUCUUCUCAAAGCUCCCUCCAAAUAUCUUCAAGAAGGGCAAGUAAUCUCCGGGAUGCCUAGCGCCGCUACUGUCGUUGAUGUCGGCGACGAGUUUCUUGAAAACAUUCGCCUCUUCUUCGUUAUGGACUUCGUCUCCGUAGUAUCUCUUCCCUGUAACCAUUCUCACGAUGUUGUUGAACGUCAGAUCAGACAAGAGCGGCUCUAGCUCGAUGUCUUUGUUGACGUCACGUGAGAGUCUCGUGAGCAUACGGCGGAUUUCGUCUUUGCGGAUGUGGAGGAAGUUGGUGAGACGGUUCGAGGAGAGGAUUUCGAGGGAGCAAAUGCGGCGGAGGUUACGCCAGUGGUCGCCGUAAG
rnacentral:lncRNA from 1 species